rnacentral:rRNA from 1 species
CUAAAUGCGGAAGAGAUAAGUGCUGAAAGCAUCUAAGCACGAAACUUGCCCCGAGAUGAGUUCUCCCUGACCCUUUAAGGGUCCUGAAGGAACGUUGAAGACGACGACGUUGAUAGGCCGGGUGUGUAAGCGCAGCGAUGCGUUGAGCUAACCGGUACUAAUGAACCGUGAGGCUUAACCUUACAACGCCGAAGCUGUU